rnacentral:lncRNA from 1 species
GUCGUAAAAGGGGACGCGGAGGAGAAGGAAAGUCGCUCAAGCAGUGGACAGAGCGGAGAAAGCGACUUCGGGUUGGUUGAAGGUUCAGCCUGAGAAAACUCCUGAGCAUGUGCGAAAAAGAAAAGAAGAAAAGAAAAGUAAAGAAAAGAAAAAAGGAAAAAGGGCAAGCUCCUGAGUGGAUCUCUCAGGGAGCCACCAGACAGUGAAUGAAGGAGGGAAGAAAGGAGAGACAGAGAAAAUAUGGAUUUCCUCAUGGUUGUGAUUCCUCUUCACUCUUUUGAAUUUGGAAGGAUGGCAUACACAUCUGAAAAAUACCACUACUUCCUUCAUUGGACUGCAAGGUAUUUCUGUUUGGAAAAGUAAUGGAGUCCAGUCAACUUCAUUGAUCGCCAAGGACUGUCAAAAUUAUAAAACUUGCUGUGGAGCUCUGACAUGCCAGAAGCCGCUAGAAAAAGAAGUUUGACAUUCAGAAACUUAUCAAGAGGUUCUACUCUUUGGAUAGAGACCAAAAUCAUACUUUGAAAAAGCCUGACAGGUUUCUUCGGAAAAGUGGCCAUCCAUGGAAUGAAUGAAAUGUUCUCUUUCUAUUCCAGGGAUUGCAGUGGCAAAGCUAGGCUAGGUCUUGGAGGCUGGUGUAAGGCGAUGUGGGUGAAGGCAGGAGGCUGAUGGAAAGACUGGGGGGAAGAAAAGCCGAAAUGGAUUCACGGUGCCUUGGAUGAAGGACGAGAGGGGAACUGCAAGCUCCUUCAACUGGUUCUGUCCGGUGAGAAGUGAUCAAGCUUGGGCUGACAAGAGGCUCAGGGAGCCCUCACGUUCUUUCGCUUUUUUACCUGCCAAUCAAACUGCUACAAGACAACACCCUGAUCUGGCAUGGACAUGUAAAAGCAAUAGUCUUGGAAAAGCGAAUCUACCAGCAGGGGGCGCACCAGCCACAUCCCUGAAACCAGCCGCGCUGAAAAGCCGGUGGCCGCCUUCUCUUCCCCAGAUCUUCUCAACCUUUUCUCUUUCCUAAUCUCCAGGUCCGUGUUUACCUUAAUAUUACACCUGGAUUAAACAGAAAACAGUGCUGUAUUUUGAAGAGCGCCGAAUAUGUAUGCAUUUUGAGAAACCCAAUCUCACCCUUUCCGGGUUCCCAAGAACUAAAACAAGCCAUAACUUGAGAGAAAAAGGAGAACCUUCGGGGGGCAGGAAGGUUGAUUGGAAAUAACUUAAGGAAAGUCUGCAGAAUUCUUUUUUUUACAACUUUUCUGAGUUUCCAGUGGGUAUAUUUAGUGUGAGUUUGACAGUAACAGGCUAGGGAGGGCAGAGAUUGGAGAAAUUGGGGGUCGGGGGAGUGAUUAUGGGAAGAAGGUUAGUAAGGAACAAAACAAUGCACCGUUUUGUAAAGAUAAUAAAUGGAACGUGGCUGGUAGAUACUAUUCAGUACAUUUUCUUAGGGUGAGUAAGGGUAGACCAGGGGAGGAGGGGGCGGAGAGAGUGUUACAGAAGAAAGAAAAUAAGUAACCC